UACGGAGGGGGCUAGCGUUGUUCGGAAUUACUGGGCGUAAAGCGCACGUAGGCGGCUUUGUAAGUUAGAGGUGAAAGCCCAGGGCUCAACCCUGGAACUGCCUUUAAGACUGCGAGGCUUGAUCACGGGAGAGGUGAGUGGAAUUCCGAGUGUAGAGGUGAAAUUCGUAGAUAUUCGGAAGAACACCAGUGGCGAAGGCGGCUCACUGGACCGUUGAUGACGCUGAGGUGCGAAAGCGUGGGGAGCAAACAGG
rnacentral:rRNA from 1 species